rnacentral:rRNA from 1 species
AACGAACGCUGGCGGCGCGCCUAAUACAUGCAAGUCGAACGAGAAGCUGUAGCAAUACAGUUGUACAGUGGCGAACGGGUGAGGAAUACACGGGUGACCUACCCUCGAGUGGGGAAUAACCAGCCGAAAGGUUGGCUAAUACCGCGUACGCUUCCCAGUCUACGGGUUGGGAAGGAAAGCGAUGCCGUGGGUAUCGCGCUCAAGGUUGGGCUCAUGUCCUAUCAGCUUGUUGGGGGGUAACGGCUCACCAAGGCAACGACGGGUAGCUGGUCUGAGAGGACGAUCAGCCACACUGGCACUGCGACACGGGCCAGACUCCUACGGGAGGCAGCAGUAAGGAAUAUUGCGCAAUGGGCGAAAGCCUGACGCAGCGACGCCGCGUGGGGGAGUGAA